ACAGCAGUCGCCGCGGUAAUACGGAGGGUGCAAGCGUUAAUCGGAAUUACUGGGCGUAAAGCGCACGCAGGCGGUCUGUCAAGUCAGAUGUGAAAUCCCCGGGCUUAACCUGGGAACUGCAUUUGAAACUGGCAGGCUAGAGUCUUGUAGAGGGGGGUAGAAUUCCAGGUGUAGCGGUGAAAUGCGUAGAGAUCUGGAGGAAUACCGGUGGCGAAGGCGGCCCCCUGGACAAAGACUGACGCUCAGGUGCGAAAGCGUGGGGAGCAAACAGGAUUAGAUACCCGAGUAGUCCCUGUCUCUUAUAC
rnacentral:rRNA from 1 species